AGAAAAGUAUUUAAAGUUUAUAAAAUCUAAUUUGCAUUUAGAAAUUGAAUUUCCUUUUCUG
rnacentral:tRNA from 1 species